rnacentral:tRNA from 1 species
CCUUAGCUCAGUUGGAUAGAGCAACGACCUUCUAAGUCGUGGGCCGCAGGUUCGAAUCCUGCAGG